rnacentral:misc_RNA from 1 species
GUGAAUCAUCAAAUUUUUGAACGCAAAUUGCACUCUCCUCGGAGAGUAUGCCUGUUUGAGGUUCAGCCUAAAAAAAAUCGACAUCGUUGCUGCUCCGCGGUGACGUUCGUCGGAGAUUGGGUUAUCUUAAACCUUUUGGUUUAAGCGACUUAAAAUUUUCCUUUUGAUUCCAUUAACGUUUCUAAGAUUUAUUUCUUUACACGUUUAAGGUAUCUAUUUUUAGUAGACGUUACUAUCAUAUCGGAUCGCUACCAUAAUCUUUCAUUAACUGACCUCAGACAGGUCAUCGU